rnacentral:misc_RNA from 1 species
CCGAGUUAGGGUCGCCCCCGCGCGCCCGACCUCCAACCCUUUGUCUACCUGACCUACAUGUUGCUUCGGCAGGCCCGCCGCCCCCGCUCACCCGGGGGAGGCCGCCGGGGGUCUCGCGAUCCCGGGCCCGCGCCUGUCGACGGCCCCAACCACAAAACUCUUGUUAAAAAACGUGUCGUCUGAGUACCACAUUUUAAUCAAAUUA